UAUGAUUGAAUUCUAUGCCAAUAAGGGUUA
rnacentral:piRNA from 1 species